rnacentral:lncRNA from 1 species
UGCCGAGGAAGCAGAAUUCUGGUGGUGGAGUGUGACAUUCUCCUCUCAGAAAUAAUACCUUUCAUUUAAGGAUUUUACCUAUCUGGAGUGUCUUCUGUACCCAUUGCCUUUCAACUAAACCCAAAGGAUCUUUUAAGCUGUGCUCAUGUUCCUUGACUUUACUGAAGUCUCUGCAUCCUGUCGUCACACAGUGACUCCCCUCCGCCAUUCCUGCAGCAUUAGAUGUGUGCCUCCUUCCACUGUCCUCUCACCUGUGCUGUAUGCAGAGGACACUACACACACAAGCACAUACAGAGUCUUCUCUUCCACUGGGGAAGCUUUGGUACAUCUGGUGGUCUGACUUCAGAGCAACCAAGAAGAG